rnacentral:sRNA from 10 species
AGAAUAGCUGACUAGGGUUCCGGCGCCAAAUGGCGCGCGACUGGUCCGAGAGUCAGCGACCUCGAUCGACGCGACGAAAAAGAUUGCGUUUGCAGGUUACACGGCGGGACAAAAGCCCGGGAGAU